rnacentral:rRNA from 1 species
GACGAACGCUGGCGGCGUGCUUAACACAUGCAAGUCGAACGGAAAGGCCCUGCUUUUGUGGGCUGCUCGAGUGGCGAACGGGUGAGUAACACGUGAGUAACCUGCCCUUGACUUUGGGAUAACUUCAGGAAACUGGGGCUAAUACCGGAUAGGAGCUCCUGCUGCAUGGUGGGGGUUGGAAAGUUUCGGCGGUUGGCGAUGGACUCGCGGCUUAUCAGCUUGGUGGUGGGGUAGUGGCUUACCAAGGCUUUGACGGGUAGCCGGCCUGAGAGGGUGACCGGCCACAUUGGGACUGAGAUACGGCACAGACUCCUACGGGAGGCAACAGUGGGGAAUAUUGCACAAUGGGCGGAAGCCUAAUGCAGCAACGCAGCGUGCGGGAUGUCGGCCUUCGGGUUGUGAACCGCUUUCGCCUGUGACGAAGCGUGAAUGACGGUAAUGGGUAAAGAAGCACCGGCUAACUACGUG